UGAGGAAUCUUGGGCAAUGGGGGAAACCCUGACCCAGCCACGCCGCGUGGAGGAAGACACCCCUAUGGGGCGUAAACUCCUUUUGUGUGAGAAGAAGGUCCCGUUCGUCGGGAUUUGACGGUACCACACGAAUAAGCACCGGCUAACUCCGUGCCAGCAGCCGCGGUAAUACGGAGGGUGCAAGCGUUGUCCGGAAUCACUGGGCGCAAAGGGCACGUAGGCGGUCUAGUAAGUCCGAUGUUAAAGCGUGGGGCUCAACCCCAUCACGGCGUUGGAUACUGCUAGGCUUGACGACUGGAGAGGUGAGUAGAAUUACCAGUGUAGCGGUGGAAUGCGUAGAUACUGGUAGGAAUACCCAUUGCGAAGGCAGCUCACUGGACAGUACGUGACGCUGAGGUGCGAAAGUGUGGGGAGCAGACCGGAUUAGAUACCCCGGUAGUCC
rnacentral:rRNA from 1 species